rnacentral:misc_RNA from 1 species
GAUGAAGAACGUAGCAAAAUGCGAUAAGUAACGUGAAUUGCAGAAUUCAGUGAAUCAUCGAAUCUUUGAACGCACAUUGCGCCCGCUGGUAUUCCGGCGGGCAUGCCUGUUCGAGCGUCAUUUCAACCCUCAAACCCCCCGGGUUUGGUGUUGGGGAUCGGCUCUGCCUCACGGCGGUGCCGCCCCCGAAAUACAUUGGCGGUCUCGCUGCAGCCUCCAUUGCGUAGUAGCUAACACCUCGCAACUGGAACGCGGCGCGGCCAUGCCGUAAAACCCCAACUUCUGAAUGUUGACCUCGGAUCAGGUAGGAAUACCCGCUGAACUUAAGCAUAUCAAUAAGCGGAGGA